rnacentral:sRNA from 1 species
AGUUGAACGAUCUCAAGAAGCUCGUUGAUUCCCUGAAGACCAAGCAGAACAUGCCACCCAGGCAGCUGCUGGAGGAUAUCAAAGUCGUCUUGUGCAGAACUGGAGAAAAAACUCAGUGAAGCAAAAUCAAGACACGACUCCAUCACAGGGAGCCUGAAAAAAUUCAAAGACCAACUCCAGGCUGAUAGGAAAAAAGAUGAAAACAGAUUCUUCAAAAGCAUGAAUAAAAAUGACAUGAAGAGCUGGGGCUUGUUACAGAAAAAUAAUCAUAAAAUGAACAAAACCUCAGAGCCCGGGUCAUCUUCUGCAGGCGGCAGAACUACAUCGGGGCCACCAAAUCACCACUCUUCAGCCCCAUCCCACUCCCUGUUUCGGGCCUCGUCUGCUGGGAAAGUCACUUUUCCAGUAUGUCUCCUGGCCUCUUAUGAUGAGAUUUCUGGUCAAGGAGCGAGCUCUCAGGAUACGAAGACAUUUGACGUUGCGCUGUCCGAGGAGCUCCAUGCGGCACUGAGUGAGUGGCUGACAGCGAUCCGGGCUUGGUUUUGUAAGGUUCCUUCAAGCUAAGCCAGCUCAGAGAACACGGGGAGCGGUGGUGCUCCACGGACUUCGGAGCAUAGAGUGGCGCUGAGUGAGUGGCUGAGACCGACCACGGUUCUUGACUUAGUGGAAUUGGGUCGAAGGAGUGGAGAAUGGGAGGGCUCGGGCUACUGAGAGUGGAGAUGGGGGCGGGGGUGGUGG